rnacentral:lncRNA from 1 species
CAGACGGAGAAGUGGCCGUGGCAAACCAAGGGGAAAGAAACUGGGAUGCUCCAUCGUGUGUUCCCUGGGGACUCCCGUGGCCGCCGGUACAGAGAGCUGGUGGCAGCUUGCGUGGUCACAGGGAGAGGAGGGGUGGAUGACCAAGACCCAUCGCCUCCACCCCGGGGUCCUCGUCUCACCCGGUGUAGGGUCACCAGACCAGAAGAGGUGACCUGGCUUUCUGAGUCUCCACUUGCCGACAGCAGGCUGUGGGGCCACAAUCGCACAAGCCAGCUCCUGCACUAAAUCUGUGCUGCAUCGAUGGUGUUUCCACGCAAACGUGUGUGCAUUAAACGGAAUCCUGUCAUGCUACACAACCAUGAACACCUGCCCUGGCUUCUCCGUGCACACUCCUGUCCCUGGCUUUCGGAGAGAUUCUUCGUCCUGGAGUAACGGAGCCAAAGGGCAGGGCUGGGUGAGGCUCCUCCUCCCUCUCCCAGAUUCCCUCUCUGGAAGGGUGCAACGGGGCCCACGCCUGCAGCAGUGUGGAAGAGGAGCCUGGGUCACGAGGGACCCGUUGCCCCUCCAGCCCCCUGCCUCACCCAUGCCUGUCUUCAGGCUUCCUGAGACACCACGCCCUGCGGCAGGGUGAUACACAUUGCUAGGGCAGCUGAGCAUGGCUCCAUACCCCGCAGGGGGCCCCAGGGCUGCUGCACGGGCUUCGGGUUCCCUUUUUGCCGUGGGACCAAGGACCGCUCUCAGACGGAAGUGACCAAGGGCUGCUGCAGAGCUGGCUCAGCCGGAUGUCUCAACUUUCACAGUCUGCAUCCCCCUCUCCCCUGGGCUGCUCUGGGGUGGUUGCUUUCCUUUAUUAGCAUCAUCACUCGUAGUUUCUGCCUCAGGUCACUUUAACCUUAUCAGGUGUAUUACCAAAACCCAUCAUCUCCUUGAAUAUUCUCAGCUUAAAGUCUGCCACCAGAGGCUGAAGGCGCUUGGUCACCUUUUAUCCAUUCGUUUUUCUUUCAGUGCACAUUUAAUGAGCACCUGCUACGUGCCAGGCAUAAGGCCAGGCGUAGUGCUGG